rnacentral:RNase_P_RNA from 1 species
GCGGGUGGCCGGAUGGCCGCGGGCGUCAAGCUCGAGGAAAGUCCGGACUCCACUGAGGAAGGGCGCCGGGUAACGCCCGGCCGGCGAGAGCCGAGGGACAGCGCCACAGAGAACAGUCCGCCCCGGCUUGUCCGGGGCAAGGGUGAAACGGUGGGGUAAGAGCCCACCGCGGACCUGGUGACAGGUCCGGCACGGCAAGCCCCGCCUGGAGCAAGGCCAAAUAGGAACCGCGCGCGGCGCAAGUCGCAGGGGCCCCUCAGCCCCGAGCAGGUUCGGGUUGGCUGCCAGAGCCGGUCCGCAAGGGCCGGCCCAGAUGAAUGGCCAUCGGGGCGCGCAAGCGCCUUACAGAAUCCGGCUUACAGGCCACCCGCAUCC